GGGGGUGACUUGGCUUCGACUGGAUCAUAUCGCCUUUAGCUGCAUGUCGGACUGAGCAAUUCCGUUACACGGCUCACUGCGAAUAAACGCAAACAAUACAAAUUAUCGCCCAACUUUAGCAGUAGCUUAAGUUUUAACCCCUCUUUAAGAGGUGGGCUGCUUCACCUGUUGACUCUAGAUAGGCAGGAUUCGAAGUAUAACCCUUAUGUAGAUAUAUCUUGAGUCUGUCUCAGCUUAAGAAGAACCUCCGAGACUCGUCUUGUGUAGCUUUGCAAGUUGUGUGAAGCAGGAUUAAAUCAAACAACUUCUCUAAGCAUGUAGAGGCUUCUGGUAGUGUGGUUUAGGACUGCGGUUCGAUCCCGCACACCUCCACCA
rnacentral:tmRNA from 1 species